AAUCAGAGCAUACGCCAAGGUGCUCAUUUUUGAGCUUGAAAGGGAACCCUGUGAAAGUCAGGGACGGGCCCGCCGCUGUAAACGGGGACCACCGCCGCAACCAUGUCACUGUAUCAUAAUUGGUAUGGGAAGACGCGGCCAGUAGGAUGAUCCGUGAGCCAGAAGACCUGCCUGGGGUGAUUUUGGAUU
rnacentral:ncRNA from 2 species